rnacentral:rRNA from 1 species
CCUACGGGAGGCUGCAGUGAGGAAUAUUGGUCAAUGGACGAGAGUCUGAACCAGCCAAGUAGCGUGAAGGAUGACUGCCCUAUGGGUUGUAAACUUCUUUUAUAUGGGAAUAAAACGUUCCACGUGUGGGAUUUUGUAUGUACCAUAUGAAUAAGGAUCGGCUAACUCCGUGCCAGCAGCCGCGGUAAUACUGAGGAUCCGAGCGUUAUCCGGAUUUAUUGGGUUUAAAUGGAGCGUAGGUGGAUUGUUAAGUCAGUUGUGAAAGUUUGCGGCUCAACCGUAAAAUUGCAGUUGAAACUGGCAGUCUGGAGGACAGGAGAGGUGGGCGGAAUUCGUGGUGUAGCGGUGAAAUGCUUAGAUAUCACGAAGAACUCCGAUUGCGAAGGCAGUUCACUGGACUGCAACUGACACUGAGGCUCGAAAGUGUGGGUAUCAAACAGGAUUAGAUACCCCUGUAGUC